rnacentral:rRNA from 1 species
GACGAACCGUGCGAACGUUGUUCGGAAUCACUGGGCUUAAAGGGCGCGUAGGCGGGUUCCCAAGUCGGGGGUGAAAUCUUUCGGCCCAACCGGAAAAGGGCCUCCGAUACUGGGAACCUCGAGGGGGGUAGGGGUCGGCGGAACUUCCGGUGGAGCGGUGAAAUGCGUAGAUAUCGAAAGGAACGCCGGUGGCGAAAGCGGCCGACUGGACCUCACCUGACGCUGAGGCGCGAAAGCCAGGGGAGCGAACGGG